GCUGAAAAUGGAUUCAAAAUGAGAUGUUUUAUCUCCAGACCGUUGCGCACACUCGCAAAUUCAGGCCAGCCACCCUCCACCUAGACUGUUUUAUGAAGGCCGCCUUUUCUUCUCUCCUCUCCCCACCCUGCGCUCAGAUGCUCUUUAUCCACUUGCACACAAAUGGAAGAAGCGGAGGUCAUCGGGAGAGGAUGCCGGAUGCUUAUCCUCGAGAUGGUUCGGGGCAGCUGAACGGUGGAACCGCUGAUCUCGCCAGGAGUUUUAUUCCUGGUGCGUGAGGUUUUACAAGAGUUAAGAUCUCUGUUUCCGACUAACGAAGAAGAAAAUGAGUGUUAUGAGGGGAUUAAAUGGAAUCACUCUCUUUUA